rnacentral:rRNA from 1 species
AUUGAACGCUGGCGGCAUGCUUUACACAUGCAAGUCGAACGGCAGCACGGGUGCUUGCACCUGGUGGCGAGUGGCGAACGGGUGAGUAAUGCAUCGGAACGUGCCCAUGAGUGGGGGAUAGCCCGGCGAAAGCCGGAUUAAUACCGCAUACGCCCUUAGGGGGGAAAGCGGGGGAUCUUCGGACCUCGCGCUAUUGGAGCGGCCGAUGUCGGAUUAGCUAGUAGGUGGGGUAAAGGCUCACCUAGGCGACGAUCCGUAGCUGGUCUGAGAGGAUGAUCAGCCACACUGGGACUGAGACACGGCCCAGACUCCUACGGGAGGCAGCAGUGGGGAAUUUUGGACAAUGGGCGAAAGCCUGAUCCAGCCAUGCCGCGUGAGUGAAGAAGGCCUCGG